rnacentral:misc_RNA from 1 species
GAUGAAGAACGUAGCGAAAUGCGAUAAGUAGUGUGAAUUGCAGAAUUCAGUGAAUCAUCGAAUCUUUGAACGCACAUUGCGCCGCUUGGUAACCCGAGGGGCAUGCCUGUUCGAGCGUCAUUUCACCACUCAAGCCUGGCUUGGUGUUGGGCGACGUCCUCUUUGGGGACGCGCCUCGAAACGCUCGGCGGCGUGGCACCGGCUUUAAGCGUAGCAGAAUCUUUCGCUUUGGAAGUCGGGGCCCCGUCUGCCGGAAGACCUGCUCGCAAGGUUGACCUCGGAUCAGGCAGGGAUACCCGCUGAACUUAAGCAUAUCAAUAAGCGGAGGA